GCAUUAGCAAUGACACCUUCUUUCUUCAGCACUGCUCUAUAAAUUGUGGGCAAGUUUCAGUACUCCUAAUAUCUUGGAAGUUGGAAUGGCAUCCAUGAAAGAGGAAAAGCCAGUGGCCUCAUCUCCAGGGCCCAAGGUUCAGCUCAAGCCUGCAGCCGUAAAAUCUGCAGUCACCGCAAACAAGAGGCCACAGGAGCCAAAGAAGACCACAAGCAGUACUGCUACUGCCAAGGUUACUCAGCCAGCAAAGCCAAAGUGAACGAGUUGCAUGCUGUGUGUCUUCUCGUGGAGCAUAAUUAAGUAGUAAAAGUCUCCGAAUAAAAAGGAUGUGUGAUGUUGCCCUAGUUUGGACUUAUAAUUAAAAUAUGAAUCAGUGAUUAUAUUAUACUUACGUUGUUAGAUUGUCAGCACUAGCAUGCCUUGCUUGGGAUCUGAUCAAAUUAAUAUCGAUAACAAUUAUAAAAAUAAAGGAAAUAACGAAUAAGAAAAAGCCAAAAGCAGAUGAUUUUAAGGCAAAGAUCGUAUUCUUUGGUGAGGACAGAGCCGUAACUUCCAUAAGGUUAGAGAGGCAACUACCUCAGGACCCAACUCAAUGAAGGGUCUAUUUUUUUUUAAUUAUACUAAAAAAAAUGAGAGACAUGGAUCUUAAAUGGUCGUUAAACCUAUUCUCAUGGCUCCAAAGUAUACACCGACGCAUGACUCUUCUUUGCACGCAAUUUCUUCUUCGGUGUUGCUCUUCUUUGCAUGCGAUUUUUUCUACAACGUUCUUUCUACCAAGGCACGGAUCUACGGAAUAAGAGUGGUUAUCUCACUCA